UUUCUUCUUCCCUUCCCAUCCCACGUUUCUUCAUCUCCAUGGGAGCCUCCCAUAAAGCUUCCAUAGCUCUCUCAAUUUAACUUCAAUUUACAUGCUUUGGUGCACUUUUCCAUAGAACCUUUGGUGCUCUUUCACUCUCCCAUCUUAAAACCCUCAAAAGUCUUUGUUCAGCACUUUCCCUCACUAACUGAAAAUUUUAAAGAGAGAAAGAGAGUUCAACUAUAAGUCCACCAAGGUGAGAGAUGAGUUAAGGUUGAUUUUAGGUGGUUAGAAAUGGCUAAUAAUUAGAAUUAUGGGCUGUUAUAUUUUUUAUGGUUAUAUUGUGUGUGAUAGGUUCCAACGAGGCCUCACAUGUCCGUUUGAAGCAAUAAUCGAAGUUAGAGUCAAUUAAAGAUUCAACAAAUAUCG
rnacentral:lncRNA from 1 species